AUGAACGCUGGCGGCGUGCCUAAUACAUGCAAGUCGAGCGAACGGACGAGAAGCUUGCUUCUCUGAUGUUAGCGGCGGACGGGUGAGUAACACGUGGAUAACCUACCUAUAAGACUGGGAUAACUUCGGGAAACCGUAGCUAAUACCGGAUAAUAUUUUGAACCGCAUGGUUCAAAAGUGAAAGACGGUCUUGCUGUCACUUAUAGAUGGAUCCGCGCUGCAUUAGCUAGUUGGUAAGGUAACGGCUUACCAAGGCAACGAUGCAUAGCCGACCCGAGAGGGUGAUCGGCCACACUGGAACUGAGACACGGUCCAGACUCCUACGGGAGGCAGCAGUAGGGAAUCUUCCGCAAUGGGCGAAAGCCUGACGGAGCAACGCCGCGUGAGUGAUGAAGGUCUUCGGAUCGUAAAACUCUGUUAUUAGGGAAGAACAUAUGUGUAAGUAACUGUGCACAUCUUGACGGUACCUAAUCAGAAAGCCACGGCUAACUACGUG
rnacentral:rRNA from 1 species